rnacentral:lncRNA from 1 species
GUGAAGUCUUGCUUGAGAAUGCUCCGGGUACCUGGCUAUCGAAGGAAGAAUAGAAAUUGUGAUAACAAAAUCCUAAAUAGAAUACUAACAAUGCUCUAAUUAGACUAUAAUAAUGGUAAACAAACGUAAUCCAAUUCAAAACAACUCAAAGAAAUUUCAAACAAACAAUAAAAUUCUUAAAGAAAUAUUAGAAUGAUUACAAAUUUUACUCAAAUAUAUGUCAAUUCAACCUUAAUUUAAUUCUAGUUAAAACCCUAUUGAAUUUCACUCAACUUUAGACCAAACCUAAUUAAAUCUUAAACCCUAAUAAUUCCUAAAUCCUAAAUCAAAUCCUAAACAAAUCUUAAAUUAAAUCCUAUUUCAAACCCUAAACUCUAAAUCAAAGCCUAAAUCAAACCCUAAGCUCUAAUCCAAAUCCUAAACCCUAAAUCAAACCCUAAGCUCUAAUCCAAAUCCUAAACCCUAAACCAAACCUCAAAUCAAACUCUAAUCCAAACCCUAAAUCAAACCCUAACCAAACCCUAAAUCCUAAUCCAAAUCCUAAUCCAAAUCCUAAUCCAAUCCUAAACUCUAAUCCAAAUCUUAAACCCUAAACCAAACCUUAAAUCA